UACGGGGGGGCAAGCGUUGUUCGGAAUUACUGGGCGUAAAGGGCUUGUAGGUGGCCAACUAAGUCAGACGUGAAAUCCCUCGGCUUAACCGGGGAACUGCGUCUGAUACUGGAUGGCUAGAGUGUGGGAGAGGGAUGCGGAAUUCCAGGUGUAGCGGUGAAAUGCGUAGAUAUCUGGAGGAACACCGGUGGCGAAGGCGGCGACCUGGGUCGAGACUGACGCUGAGGCGCGAAAGCGUGGGGAGCAAACAGG
rnacentral:rRNA from 1 species